AUUGAACGCUGGCGGCAUGCUUUACACAUGCAAGUCGAACGGCAGCGCGGGCUUCGGCCUGGCGGCGAGUGGCGAACGGGUGAGUAAUGCAUCGGAACGUGCCCAGUAGGGGGGGAUAGCCCGGCGAAAGCCGGAUUAAUACCGCAUACGACCUGAGGGUGAAAGCGGGGGACCGAAAGGCCUCGCGCUAUUGGAGCGGCCGAUGUCGGAUUAGCUAGUUGGUUGGGUAAAGGCUUACCAAGGCGAGGAUCCGUAGAUGGUCUGAGAGGACGACCAGCCACACUGGGACUGAGACACGGCCCAGACUCCUACGGGAGGUAGCAGUGGGGAAUUUUGGACAAUGGGGGCAACCCUGAUCCAGCCAUGCCGCGUGCGGGAAGAAGGCCUUCGGGUUGUAAAACGCUUUUGUUCGGGAAGAAAUCCUUUGGGCUAAUACCCCGGGGGGAUGACGGUACCGGAAGAAUAAGCACCGGCUAACUACGUG
rnacentral:rRNA from 1 species